GUGUGUGUGUGUGUGCCUCGUCCACCAGCCUCUCUCUGUAGUGUAUGAGUGUGUGUGUGCCUCGUCCACCAGCCUCUCUCUGUAGUGUAUGAGUGUGUGUGUGCCGUGUGCGUGCAGGCGCAGCUGCGCGCGAGCGAGGCUUUUAGUGUGUG